GAUGAACGCUAGCGGCAGGCUUAAUACAUGCAAGUCGAGGGGCAGCACGGUUAGCAAUAACUGGUGGCGACCGGCGCACGGGUGCGUAACACGUAUACAAUCUACCUUAAACAGGGGGAUAGCCUUUCGAAAGAGAGAUUAAUACCCCGUAAUAAAUUGAACGGCAUCGUUUGAUUUGAAAGCUCCGGCGGUUUGAGAUGAGUAUGCGUCUGAUUAGCUAGUUGGUGAGGUAACGGCUCACCAAGGCGGCGAUCAGUAGGGGAUCUGAGAGGACUAA
rnacentral:rRNA from 1 species